rnacentral:rRNA from 1 species
AUUGAACGCUGGCGGCAGGCCUAACACAUGCAAGUCGAGCGGAUGAAGGGAGCUUGCUCCUGGAUUCAGCGGCGGACGGGUGAGUAAUGCCUAGGAAUCUGCCUGGUAGUGGGGGAUAACGUCCGGAAACGGGCGCUAAUACCGCAUACGUCCUGAGGGAGAAAGUGGGGGAUCUUCGGACCUCACGCUAUCAGAUGAGCCUAGGUCGGAUUAGCUAGUUGGUGGGGUAAAGGCCUACCAAGGCGACGAUCCGUAACUGGUCUGAGAGGAUGAUCAGUCACACUGGAACUGAGACACGGUCCAGACUCCUACGGGAGGCAGCAGUGGGGAAUAUUGGACAAUGGGCGAAAGCCUGAUCCAGACAUGCCGCGUGUGUGAAGAAGGUCUUCGGAUUGUAAAGCACUUUAAGUUGGGAGGAAGGGCAGUAAGUUAAUACCUUGCUGUUUUGACGUUACCAACAGAAUAAGCACCGGCUGACUUCGUG